rnacentral:rRNA from 1 species
UACAGAGGGGGCAAGCGUUAUUCGGAAUCAUUGGGCGUAAAGCGCACGUAGGCGGUCUGUUAUGUCGGAUGUGAAAGCCCUUGGCUUAACUGAGGAAGUGCAUCCGAAACUGGCAGGCUAGAGUACUAAAGAGGGUCGCGGAAUUCCCGGUGUAGAGGUGAAAUUCGUAGAUAUCGGGAGGAACACCGGUGGCGAAGGCGGCGAGCUGGGUAGAUACUGACGCUGAGGUGCGAAAGCGUGGGGAGCAAACAGG